rnacentral:rRNA from 1 species
UACAGAGGAGCCAAGCGUUGUCCGGAUUUACUGGGCGUAAAGCGCACGCAGGCGGCUGUGCACGUGGGGUGUGAAAGGUGGCGGCUUAACUGCCACACGCCACCUCAUACGGCACGGCUCGAGCCCGUGAGAGGUCCACGGAAUUGCCGGUGUAGUGGUGAAAUGCGUAGAGAUCGGGAGGAACAUCUGUGGCGAAGGCGGCCAUCUGGACCAGCACUGACACUGAGGCACGAAAGCGUGGGGAGCAAACAGG